UACAAAUAGUACACAAUCGAACGCCAACAGCUCAUUCAAAAUACCCUGAUUUAAAACAAUCAAUUGGAAAAAUAAAGACAAGAGCGAAAACUGAACAAAAAUACAUUAGCUACACAGUGAUAGAAGACCGUGAAGUACUGAACACAAUGCUCGCGACACGACAUGGCAGUACGACAGUGAACUGAAAAUGGCGUCGUGAAGCAUACUACAUGAACAUUGGUGAGAAGGCAGCAACUUAACAAUGGCCGGCAUGUACACAAGACAACACAACUGUCCAUUUUGCGGCACAAUUCCGAUUUCUUUGGCGCCGCGAUUUGAAGGUACCGUUGGAAAGAGGAAGUCCUCCUGAUUAAAAAAUAUAUAGGGUUAUAGGUACUUAGUUUACGAGAUAUUCGACCUUAAAGUUCAAAAAUUCGCAAAAUUCGAACAUUUCAAGAAGCUAUUUCACCACGUUAAACCCACUUUACUCACAUUUUUCUGUUCAAAUUAAUUAAACUACACUGUAAUCUUUUAAAUAAAUCCACAUUUUACACUUUUA